rnacentral:rRNA from 1 species
UCCGUAGGCGGGCGUCUAAGUCAGUGGUGAAAUCUUACAGCUCAACUGUAAAAUUGCCAUUGAUACUGGAUGUCUUGAAUUAGUGUGAAGUGGUUAGAAUGUGUAGUGUAGCGGUGAAAUGCAUAGAUAUUACACAGAAUACCAAUUGCGAAGGCAGAUCACUAACUCUAUAUUGACGCUGAGGGACGAAAGCGUGGGGAGCGAACAGGAUUAGAUACCCUGGUAGUCC